GACGAACGCUGGCGGCAUGCCUUACACAUGCAAGUCGAACGGCAGCACGGACUUCGGUCUGGUGGCGAGUGGCGAACGGGUGAGUAAUGUAUCGGAACGUACCUUUCAGUGGGGGAUAACGUAGCGAAAGUUACGCUAAUACCGCAUAUUCUGUGAGCAGGAAAGCAGGGGAUCGCAAGACCUUGCGCUGAUUGAGCGGCCGAUAUCAGAUUAGCUAGUUGGUGGGGUAAAGGCCUACCAAGGCGACGAUCUGUAGCGGGUCUGAGAGGAUGAUCCGCCACACUGGAACUGAGACACGGUCCAGACUCCUACGGGAGGCAGCAGUGAGGAAUAUUGGUCAAUGGGCGGAAGCCUGAACCAGCCAUGCCGCGUGCAGGAUGACGGCCCUACGGGUUGUAAACUGCUUUUCCCGGGCGAAUAACCCCUCGCGAGGGGAGUGCCGGUACCGGGGAGUAAGGAGUCGGCUAACUCCGUGCCAGCAGCCGCGGUAACUGUAGUCGUCG
rnacentral:rRNA from 1 species